rnacentral:rRNA from 1 species
UCAAUGCAAGUCGAGCGGUAGCACAGAGAGCUUGCUCUCGGGUGACGAGCGGCGGACGGGUGAGUAAUGUCUGGGAAACUGCCUGAUGGAGGGGGAUAACUACUGGAAACGGUAGCUAAUACCGCAUAAUGUCGCAAGACCAAAGUGGGGGACCUUCGGGCCUCAUGCCAUCAGAUGUGCCCAGAUGGGAUUAGCUAGUAGGUGGGGUAACGGCUCACCUAGGCGACGAUCCCUAGCUGGUCUGAGAGGAUGACCAGCCACACUGGAACUGAGACACGGUCCAGACUCCUACGGGAGGCAGCAGUGGGGAAUAUUGCACAAUGGGCGCAAGCCUGAUGCAGCCAUGCCGCGUGUGUGAAGAAGGCCUUCGGGUUGUAAAGCACUUUCAGCGGGGAGGAAGGCGUUAAGGUUAAUAACCUUGGCGAUUGACGUUACCCGCAGAAGAAGCACCGGCUAACUCCGUGCCAGCAGCCGCGGUAAUACGGAGGGUGCAAGCGUUAAUCGGAAUUACUGGGCGUAAAGCGCACGCAGGCGGUCUGUCAAGUCGGAUGUGAAAUCCCCGGGCUCAACCUGGGAACUGCAUUCGAAACUGGCAGGCUAGAGUCUUGUAGAGGGGGGUAGAAUUCCAGGUGUAGCGGUGAAAUGCGUAGAGAUCUGGAGGAAUACCGGUGGCGAAGGCGGCCCCCUGGACAAAGACUGACGCUCAGGUGCGAAAGCGUGGGGAGCAAACAGGAUUAGAUACCCUGGUAGUCCACGCCGUAAACGAUGUCGAUUUGGAGGUUGUGCCCUUGAGGCGUGGCUUCCGGAGCUAACGCGUUAAAUCGACCGCCUGGGGAGUACGGCCGCAAGGUUAAAACUCAAAUGAAUUGACGGGGGCCCGCACAAGCGGUGGAGCAUGUGGUUUAAUUCGAUGCAACGCGAAGAACCUUACCUGGUCUUGACAUCCACAGAACUUUCCAGAGAUGGAUUGGUGCCUUCGGGAACUGUGAGACAGGUGCUGCAUGGCUGUCGUCAGCUCGUGUUGUGAAAUGUUGGGUUAAGUCCCGCAACGAGCGCAACCCUUAUCCUUUGUUGCCAGCGGUUAGGCCGGGAACUCAAAGGAGACUGCCAGUGAUAAACUGGAGGAAGGUGGGGAUGACGUCAAGUCAUCAUGGCCCUUACGACCAGGGCUACACACGUGCUACAAUGGCAUAUACAAAGAGAAGCGACCUCGCGAGAGCAAGCGGACCUCAUAAAGUAUGUCGUAGUCCGGAUUGGAGUCUGCAACUCGACUCCAUGAAGUCGGAAUCGCUAGUAAUCGUAGAUCAGAAUGCUACGGUGAAUACGUUCCCGGGCCUUGUACACACCGCCCGUCACACCAUGGGAGUGGGUUGCAAAAGAAGUAGGUAGCUUAACCUUCGGGAGGGCG